CAGUCGCCGCGGGAAUACGUAGGUGGCAAGCGUUGUCCGGAAUUAUUGGGCGUAAAGGGCUCGCAGGCGGUUUCUUAAGUCUGAUGUGAAAGCCCCCGGCUCAACCGGGGAGGGUCAUUGGAAACUGGGAAACUUGAGUGCAGAAGAGGAGAGUGGAAUUCCACGUGUAGCGGUGAAAUGCGUAGAGAUGUGGAGGAACACCAGUGGCGAAGGCGACUCUCUGUCUGUAACUGACGCUGAGGAGCGAAAGCGUGGGGAGCGAACAGGAUUAGAUACCCGCGUAGUCCCUGUCUCUUAUACA
rnacentral:rRNA from 1 species